UGAGGAAUAUUGGUCAAUGGACGCAAGUCUGAACCAGCCAUGCCGCGUGCAGGAUGACGGCUCUAUGAGUUGUAAACUGCUUUUGUACGAGGGUAAACGCAGAUACGUGUAUCUGUCUGAAAGUAUCGUACGAAUAAGGAUCGGCUAACUCCGUGCCAGCAGCCGCGGUAAUACGGAGGAUUCAAGCGUUAUCCGGAUUUAUUGGGUUUAAAGGGUGCGUAGGCGGUUUGAUAAGUUAGAGGUGAAAUUUCGGGGCUCAACCCUGAACGUGCCUCUAAUACUGUUGAGCUAGAGAGUAGUUGCGGUAGGCGGAAUGUAUGGUGUAGCGGUGAAAUGCUUAGAGAUUAUACAGAACACCGAUUGCGAAGGCAGCUUACCAAACUAUAUCUGACGUUGAGGCACGAAAGCGUGGGGAGCAAACAGGAUUAGAUACCCUGGUAGUCCACGCAGUAAACGAUGAUAACUCGUUGUCGGCGAUACACAGUCGGUGACUAAGCGAAAGCGAUAAGUUAUCCACCUGGGGAGUACGUUCGCAAGAAUGAAACUCAAAGGAAUUGACGGGGGCCCGCACAAGCGGAGGAACAUGUGGUUUAAUUCGAUGAUACGCGAGGAACCUUACCCGGGCUUGAAAGUUAGCGACGAUUCUUGAAAGAGGAUUUCCCUUCGGGGCGCGAAACUAGGUGCUGCAUGGUUGUCGUCAGCUCGUGCCGUGAGGUGUCGGGUUAAGUCCCAUAACGAGCGCAACCCCUACCGUUAGUUGCCAUCAGGUGAAGCUGGGCACUCUGGCGGGACUGCCGGUGUAAGCCGAGAGGAAGGUGGGGAUGACGUCAAAUCAGCACGGCCCUUACGUCCGGGGCUACACACGUGUUACAAUGGUAGGUACAGAGGGCAGCUACCCAGCGAUGGGAUGCGAAUCUCGAAAGCCUAUCUCAGUUCGGAUUGGAGGCUGAAACCCGCCUCCAUGAAGUUGGAUUCGCUAGUAAUCGCGCAUCAGCCAUGGCGCGGUGAAUACGUUCCC
rnacentral:rRNA from 1 species